GGCGAACGCUGGCGGCGUGCCUAAUACAUGCAAGUUGAGCGCUGAAGGUUGGUACUUGUACCGACUGGAUGAGCAGCGAACGGGUGAGUAACGCGUGGGGAAUCUGCCUUUGAGCGGGGGACAACAUUUGGAAACGAAUGCUAACACCGCAUAAAAACUUUAAACACAAGUUUUAAGUUUGAAAGAUGCAAUUGCAUCACUCAAAGAUGAUCCCGCGUUGUAUUAGCUAGUUGGUGAGGUAAAGGCUCACCAAGGCGAUGAUACAUAGCCGACCUGAGAGGGUGAUCGGCCACAUUGGGACUGAGACACGGCCCAAACUCCUACGGGAGGCAGCAGUAGGGAAUCUUCGGCAAUGGACGAAAGUCUGACCGAGCAACGCCGCGUGAGUGAAGAAGGUUUUCGGAUCGUAAAACUCUGUUGGUAGAGAAGAACGUUGGUGAGAGUGGAAAGCUCAUCAAGUGACGGUAACUACCCAGAAAGGGACGGCUAACUACGUG
rnacentral:rRNA from 1 species